rnacentral:rRNA from 1 species
CACGUAGGGCGCAAGCGUUGUCCGGAAUUAUUGGGCGUAAAGAGCUCGUAGGCGGACUGUCACGUCUGCUGUGAAAAGCUGGGGCUUAACCCUGGCCUUGCAGUGGAUACGGGCAGACUAGAGGUAGGUAGGGGAGAAUGGAAUUCCCGGUGUAGCGGUGAAAUGCGCAGAUAUCGGGAGGUACACCGGUGGCGAAGGCGGUUCUCUGGGCCUUACCUGACGCUGAGGAGCGAAAGCGUGGGGAGCGAACAGG